rnacentral:rRNA from 1 species
GCGGAGGAAAAGAAACCACCAGGGAUUGCCUCAGUAGCGGCGAGUGAAGCGGCAAAAGCUCAAAUUUGAAAUCUGGCGUCUUUGGCGUCCGAGUUGUAAUUUGAAGAAGGUAUCUUUGGGCCCGGCUCUUGUCUAUGUUCCUUGGAACAGGACGUCACAGAGGGUGAGAAUCCCGUGCGAUGAGAUGACCCGGGUCUGUGUAAAGUUCCUUCGACGAGUCGAGUUGUUUGGGAAUGCAGCUCUAAGUGGGUGGUAAAUUCCAUCUAAAGCUAAAUAUUGGCGAGAGACCGAUAGCGAACAAGUACAGUGAUGGAAAGAUGAAAAGAACUUUGAAAAGAGAGUGAAAAAGUACGUGAAAUUGUUGAAAGGGAAGGGCUUGAGAUCAGACUUGGUAUUUUGCAUGCUGCUCUCUCGGGGGCGGCCGCUGCGGUUUACCGGGCCAGCAUCGGUUUGGAGCGGCAGGAUAAUGGCGGAGGAAUGUGGCACGGCUUCUGCUGUGUGUUAUAGCCUCUGACGAUACUGCCAGCCUAGACCGAGGACUGCGGUUUUUACCUAGGAUGUUGGCAUAAUGAUCUUAAGUCGCCCGUCUUG